GACGAACGCUGGCGGCGUGCUUAACACAUGCAAGUCGAACGGAAAGGCCCUGCUUUUGUGGGGUGCUCGAGUGGCGAACGGGUGAGUAACACGUGAGUAACCUGCCCUUGACUUUGGGAUAACUUCAGGAAACUGGGGCUAAUACCGGAUAGGAGCUCCUGCUGCAUGGUGGGGGUUGGAAAGUUUCGGCGGUUGGGGAUGGACUCGCGGCUUAUCAGCUUGUUGGUGGGGUAGUGGCUUACCAAGGCUUUGACGGGUAGCCGGCCUGAGAGGGUGACCGGCCACAUUGGGACUGAGAUACGGCCCAGACGCCUACGGGAGGCAGCAGUGGGGAAUAUUGCACAAUGGGCGGAAGCCUGAUGCAGCAACGCCGCGUGCGGGAUGACGGCCUUCGGGUUGUAAACCGCUUUCGCCUGUGACGAAGCGUGAGUGGCGGUAAUGGGUAAAGAAGCACCGGCUAACUACGUG
rnacentral:rRNA from 1 species